AUUGAACGCUGGCGGAAUGCUUUACACAUGCAAGUCGAGCGGCAGCGCGGCCUUCGGGCUGGCGGCGAGCGGCGAACGGGUGAGUAAUGCAUCGGAACAUGCCCAGUCGUGGGGGAUAACACUUCGAAAGAAGUGCUAAUACCGCAUACGUCCUGAGGGGGAAAGCGGGGGAUCGCAAGACCUCGCGCGAUUGGAGUGGCCGAUGUCAGAUUAGCUAGUUGGUGGGGUAAAGGCCUACCAAGGCGACGAUCUGUAGCUGGUCUGAGAGGAUGAUCAGCCACACUGGGACUGAGACACGGCCCAGUCUCCUACGGGAGGCAGCAGUGGGGAAUUUUGGACAAUGGGGGCAACCCUGAUCCAGCCAUUCCGCGUGAGUGAAGAAGGCCUUCGGGUUGUAAAGCUCUUUCGGCAGGAACGAAACGGUGGGCUCUAACAUAGUCCGCUAAUGACGGUACCUGAAGAAGAAGCACCGGCUAACUACGUG
rnacentral:rRNA from 1 species